CUAAACUUCACCGCUAAGUCUUAUAUUCUGAUUACUCACUAACUUAAUACAUAUGACAAUUUACUGGGACAAUCUACCGUUUAUGAUUCGGUCCAACAUCUGCCUAUUAUAUGUUUUUGGUGAAUUGCCUGUCUAUUAUUUAUUUUAUAAUUCGGAUAGUAAACGGAGAGACGAAAGCUGAAAGAAAAAAUAUGAAGAAGUAACCUGUAGCCUGAAAAGAAUCAAUCAAGCGAUUUAUUUAAUAACAUCACCAUUUAUACGGUGUCAGAAGAUUUAAAUAAAAAUAAUAAUAAACGAUUGACUGAAGUUUAUCAUGGAAAUUUUCCGACGUUUUAUUUACUGUGGCCUCCAUCGUCAUUACCGUUCUAGGGAUCUUCAAUACUGAAUAUAAGUUGAGAAUAUCAAGAGUACACUGACUUCAUUUAUUUCCUAAUUAGCCAAUGAAAAAAUGUACUGCGUAGAAUGAAGGAACAGCAUUGAGUACACAUGAUACUAUACCCGAGUUGUAUUGGGUGAUAUAACGUCGAAAAUACCGCUUUGACAUUCUUGCACGUUGUCCAUAAUUCUUUACCCAACAUUAUACCAAGACCACGACCGACGCGGGUAGAUAUCCAAGAUGUUGAUGCAAGUCAACGAGGGAAGUGUAAUAAAAAAAAAAAAAAAC